rnacentral:rRNA from 1 species
GAGUUUGAUCAUGGCUCAGAAUCAACGCUGGCGGCGUGCCUAACACAUGCAAGUCGAACGCGGUUACUUCGCGAGAGGUAACUGAGUGGCGAACGGGGUGAGUAACACGUGGGUGACCUACCUUCGAAUGGGGGAUAACGUCCCGAAAGGGACGCUAAUACCGCAUAACAUCCUGCCUUUGAACAGGUGGAGAUCAAAGCCGGGGAUCGCAAGACCUGGCGUUUGAAGAGGGGCCCGCGUCUGAUUAGCUAGUUGGUGAGGUAACGGCUCACCAAGGCGACGAUCAGUAUCCGGCCUGAGAGGGCGGACGGACACACUGGGACUGAGACACGGCCCAGACUCCUACGGGAGGCAGCAGUGGGGAAUUGUUCGCAAUGGGCGCAAGCCUGACGACGCAACGCCGCGUGGAGGAUGAAGGUCUUCGGAUUGUAAACUCCUGUUGCCCGGGACGAAAAGCUUCGACCUAACACGUCGAAGUCUGACGGUACCGGGUGAGGAAGCCCCGGCUAACUCUGUGCCAGCAGCCGCGGUAA